AGAUAAUCGUCAUAUCAAUUGUAGCGUUCUAUGGUGUCACAGUUAAAAGAAAAUGGAAAGUCCGAACGUUGUAAAAAGGCCGGUAGUGGAGAAUACUACGAGGCUGUGGAACGAGAAUAUAUCUAAGAACAACCCUUUAGGACUGAUUAAACAAGUGGCACAAACUGCAUGUUCGUUGCUUUACCGAUCGAUUUCAUAUGAACAAUCCCAAUCAUGUUUUAGUGAAGGUUUAGAUGAAGUUACCUUG